rnacentral:rRNA from 1 species
UACGGGGGGGGCAAGCGUUGUUCGGAAUUACUGGGCGUAAAGGGCGCGUAGGCGGCCUGCUAAGUCGGAUGUGGAAUCCCUCGGCUCAACCGAGGAACUGCAUCCGAUACUGGCGGGCUUGAAUCCGGGAGAGGGAUGUGGAAUUCCAGGUGUAGCGGUGAAAUGCGUAGAUAUCUGGAGGAACACCGGUGGCGAAGGCGGCAUCCUGGACCGGUAUUGACGCUGAGGCGCGAAAGCUAGGGGAGCAAACGGG